rnacentral:rRNA from 1 species
CGCACGGCGCACGGGUGCGUAACACGUGGGUAACCUGCCCUUCGGUGGGGAAUAACUCCGCGAAAGCGGAGCUAACACCGCAUUACAUUCCGGGAACUUCGGAUUCCGGACUCAAAACCGCAAGGUGCCGAAGGAGGGGCCCGCGCCCGAUUAGCUAGUUGGCGAGGUAAUGGCUCACCAAGGCUAUGAUCGGUAGCCGGUCUGAGAGGAUGGCCGGCCACACUGGAACUGAGACACGGUCCAGACUCCUACGGGAGGCAGCAGUGGGGAAUCUUGCGCAAUGGGCGAAAGCCUGACGCAGCGACGCCGCGUGGGGGAUGAAGCUUCUCGGAGUGUAAACCCCUUUCGACCCGGACGAAUGCCCCGCAAGGGGAGUGUCGGUACGGGUAUAAGAAGCCCCGGCUAACUACGUGCCAGCAGCCGCGGUAAGACGUAGGGGGCCAGCGUUGCUCGGAAUUACUGGGCGUAAAGGGUCUGUAGGCGGUGCGGCAAGUCGGGAGUGAAAUCUCUGGGCUUAACUCAGGGGCUGCUUCCGAAACUGCCGUGCUCGAGUGUGGGAGAGGCGAGUGGAAUUGCAGGUGUAGCGGUGAAAUGCGUAGAUAUCUGCAGGAACACCCGUGGCGAAGGCGGCUCGCUGGACCACAACUGACGCUGAGAGGCGAAAGCUAGGGGAGCAAACAGGAUUAGAUACCCUGGUAGUCCUAGCCCUAAACCAUCAGGACUUGGCGUGACCCGCGUACGUGGGUCGUGCCGAAGCUAACGCGAUAAGUCCUGCGCCUGGGGAGUACGGUCGCAAGACUGAAAC